UAUCUUCGGGGCAGGGUGAAAUUCCCGACCGGCGGUGAUGAGGCAACUCUAAGCCCGCGAGCCUUGUUUUAGGGGCAGGAUUUGGUGCGAUUCCAAAGCCGACAGUAAAGUCUGGAUGGGAGAAGGUG
rnacentral:ncRNA from 1 species